rnacentral:rRNA from 1 species
GACGAACGCUGGCGGCGUGCUUAACACAUGCAGGUCGAACGGUGAAGCGCUUUCCUUUUUGGUUGGUGUGGAUGAGUGGCGAACGGGUGAGUAACACGUGAGUAACCUGCCCCCUUCUUCUGGAUAACCGCAUGAAAGUGUGACUAAUACGGGAUAUUCUGCGCCUGCUGCAUGGUGGGUGUGGGAAAGAUUGUGCCUUUGGGUGUUUUCGGUGGGGGAUGGGCUCGCGGCCUAUCAGCUUGUUGGUGGGGUGAUGGCCUACCAAGGCGGUGACGGGUAGCCGGCCUGAGAGGGUGGACGGUCACACUGGGACUGAGACACGGCCCAGACUCCUACGGGAGGCAGCAGUGGGGAAUAUUGCACAAUGGGCGCAAGCCUGAUGCAGCGACGCCGCGUGAGGGAUGGAGGCCUUCGGGUUGUGAACCUCUUUCGCCAGUGAAGCAGGCCUGCUCCUUGUGGGUGGGUUGACGGUAGCUGGAUAAGAAGCGCCGGCUAACUACGU